rnacentral:rRNA from 1 species
UACGUAGGGUGCAAGCGUUAAUCGGAAUUACUGGGCGUAAAGCGUGCGCAGGCGGUGAUGUAAGACAGGUGUGAAAUCCCCGGGCUUAACCUGGGAACUGCAUUUGUGACUGCAUCGCUGGAGUGCGGCAGAGGGGGAUGGAAUUCCGCGUGUAGCAGUGAAAUGCGUAGAUAUGCGGAGGAACACCGAUGGCGAAGGCAGCCUCCUGGGCCAAUACUGACGCUCAUGCACGAAAGCGUGGGGAGCAAACAGG